GUCUGGGCAGGAAAAGGGUUCAUGUCAGGUUCUCCAUACAACAAUGAAGUCAUCUCUCUAUAUAUAAUACUAAAAUUAACACUGUCUAUGCCUGUUCUCUUUCUUGUAGACACUGAGUGCUAAGCAAGAUGCCAGUACAUUGCGAAAGACAAUGCUUCACACUACUUCUGUUUAAAUUUAAUUUGCCACUCUCCUGGUCAACAGCUUAUUAACAUCUUCCUGCAGCCUGAAGUUUUCCUCCUCACUAUUUUCCACAGAGCCAGCUUUUCUGUCAUCUGCAAUUUUUCUCCCAAUGAUACACCCUGAAUUUAGAUCUAAAAACACAAACAUAUUCUGUAUAAUACAGAUAGCAAAGGACCUGUGGAAACCCAUUCAUCACAGCCUAUCAGUCACUCAAAUCUUACCCAGUGCAUGCCGGCACUGGAUCUGACUCGCCACUCUCCUUUAGAUCCCUUAGGCUCCUAUGUUUUUGACCAUCCAGCCUUCUGAGACCUUGUCAAAGCUUCCCCCUGAAAGGGAAGUGAAUAAAUAUCUGACAUUGGUUCUGCAGCUGUUUUCCAUUUGACGCCAGCAAGCCAACAUCUUCAUCUAGAAUGGAAAUGAAACACAUUUUCAGGGAUCUGUGGUGGAUUUGAAGUAUAGUAGCACAGAUGGAAGAAGUUGCACUUAUUCUGCACCGUUCCCACCCCCAGGAUGCUUCAAAGUUCAUUGGAGCCAGAUAAAACAAAUUUAAGACAGCCAUGAAACAAAGAAAGCCAAGGAAGCCCUUCAAAGAAAAGCAUUAAUGCUCAAAAUAACAAUGAACCAAAA